AGAGUUCGAUCCUGGCUCAGGAUGAACGCUGGCGGCGCGCCUAACACAUGCAAGUCGAACGGCACCCACCCUCGGGUGGAAGCGAGUGGCGAACGGCUGAGUAACACGUGGAGAACCCGCCCCCUCCUCCGGGAUAGCCUCGGGAAACCGUGGGUAAUACCGGAUGACCCCGCAGGGCCGCAUGGCCCCGCGGGCAAAGCCCAGACGGGAGGGGAUGGCUCCGCGGCCCAUCAGGUAGACGGCGGGGUGACGGCCCACCGUGCCGACGACGGGUAGCCGGGUUGAGAGACCGACCGGCCAGAUUGGGACUGAGACACGGCCCAGACUCCUACGGGAGGCAGCAGUGGGGAAUCUUGCGCAAUGGGGGGAACCCUGACGCAGCGACGCCGCGUGCGGGACGAAGGCCCUCGGGUCGUAAACCGCUUUCAGCAGGGAUGAGACAAGACGGUACCUGCAGAAGAAGCCCCGGCUAACUACGUGCCAGCAGCCGCGGUAAUACGUAGGGGGCGAGCGUUAUCCGGAUUCAUUGGGCGUAAAGCGCGCGUAGGCGGCCCGGCAGGCAGGGGGUCAAAUGGCGGGGCUCAACCCCGUCCCGCCCCCUGAACCGCCGGGCUCGGGUCCGGUAGGGGAGGGUGGAACACCCGGUGUAGCGGUGGAAUGCGCAGAUAUCGGGUGGAACACCGGUGGCGAAGGCGGCCCUCUGGGCCGAGACCGACGCUGAGGCGCGAAAGCUGGGGGAGCGAACAGGAUUAGAUACCCUGGUAGUCCCAGCCGUAAACGAUGGACGCUAGGUGUGGGGGGACGAUCCCUCCGUGCCGCAGCCAACGCAUUAAGCGUCCCGCCUGGGGAGUACGGCCGCAAGGCUAAAACUCAAAGGAAUUGACGGGGGCCCGCACAAGCAGCGGAGUAUGUGGUUUAAUU
rnacentral:rRNA from 1 species